UACAGAGGUCUCAAGCGUUGUUCGGAUUCAUUGGGCGUAAAGGGUGCGUAGGCGGCGCGGUAAGUCGGGUGUGAAAUCUCGGAGCUUAACUCCGAAACUGCAUUCGAUACUGCCGUGCUUGAGGACUGGAGAGGAGACCGGAAUUUACGGUGUAGCGGUGAAAUGCGUAGAUAUCGUAAGGAAGACCAGUGGCGAAGGCGGGUCUC
rnacentral:rRNA from 1 species